rnacentral:rRNA from 1 species
CCUGAAAAGAACUUUGGAGAGAGAGUCAAAAAGACCGCGAAACCGUUAGGAGGGAAACGAAUGCAGCUAAAGUAGUUCUCUUUCAGGUUCAGGAGAUGUUGGUCUGUUAUGCUGGGUGGUGGAAGCUCACGCGCCACCGCUUGGAUGUGCGGCCGAUUCCUCUGCACUCCUGUGGAGAGCUGGCCAACAACAGUCGUUCCUUGCUCAUAAGGGCGGUUGGGUAGGUAGCUCCUCAGUUUCUGGGGAGAACUUAUAGCCAUUGUUCCGGUAGUCUGGGAGCGACUGAGGAGAGUUGUGAAAUCACACGUGCAGUGUAGGCCCGUCUGGGCCGGGUCGCCUCUGUUCGUUUAGGCACCGCUCUGGGGACUGCGUGCAGUGUCCAGUGACGAAUGUCUGCUCGGGUGGGGGAUUGGCCACGCCUGCACUGCAGU